UACGAAGGGGGCUAGCGUUGUUCGGAUUUACUGGGCGUAAAGCGCAUGUAGGCGGGUCGUUCAGGUGGGGGUGAAAUUCCGAGGCUCAACCUCGGAACUGCCUUCAAAACUGGCGACCUGGAGCAAGAUAGAGGCAAGUGGAAUUGCGAGUGUAGAGGUGAAAUUCGUAGAUAUUCGCAGGAACACCAGUGGCGAAGGCGACUUGCUGGAUCUUUGCUGACGCUGAUAUGCGAAAGCGUGGGGAGCAAACAGG
rnacentral:rRNA from 1 species